CUGAGCGUUCAUAAUAUAUGAGUCCGAAAGGAGUCCUAGGUAGGAUUCAUAUAUGAUCCUAGUUAUGAGCCAGCACGUUGUGCGAAUAUAAAAACAAUAAAGAUGUGAAAUUUAUAUCUAAACUUGUUUAUACAGAAAUUGAAAAUAAUUAGUAAACAAAAAAUGAACAAAAUUUAGCUG